rnacentral:rRNA from 1 species
CAACUCUGAUCCAGCCAUGCCGCGUGCAGGAAGACGGCCCUAUGGGUUGUAAACUGCUUUUAUAUAGGAAGAAACCUUUUCACGUGUGAGAAGCUGACGGUACUAUAAGAAUAAGGACCGGCUAACUCCGUGCCAGCAGCCGCGGUAAUACGGAGGGUCCGAGCGUUAUCCGGAAUCAUUGGGUUUAAAGGGUCCGUAGCGGGAAUCUAAGUCAGUGGUGAAAUCUUGCAGCUCAACUGUAAAAUUGCCAUUGAUACUGGAUDUCUUGAAUUAGUGUGAAGUGAUUAGAAUGUGUAGUGUAGCGGUGAAAUGCAUAGAUAUUACACAGAAUACCAAUUGCGAAGGCAGAUCACUAACACUAUAUUGACGCUGAGGGACGAAAGCGUGGGGAGCGAACAGGAUUAGAUACCCUGGUAGUCCACGCCGUAAACGAUGGAUACUAGCUGUUCGAUCUUCGGAUUGAGUGGCUAAGCGAAAGUGAUAAGUAUCCCACCUGGGGAGUACGUUCGCAAGAAUGAAACUCAAAGGAAUUGACGGGGGCCGCACAAGCGGUGGAGCAUGUGGUUUAAUUCGAUGAUACGCGAGGAACCUUACCAGGGCUUAAAUGUAGUCUGACAGCUUUAGAGAUAGAGUUUUCUUCGGACAGAUUACAAGGUGCUGCAUGGUUGUCGUCAGCUCGUGCCGUGAGGUGUCAGGUUAAGUCCUAUAACGAGCGCAACCCCUGUUGUUAGUUGCAGCGAGUAAUGUCGGGAACUCUA